rnacentral:tRNA from 1 species
UAGGAUGUAGUGUAAUGGAAGCACAGAGGAUUUUGAGUUCUUUAGUAUGGGUUCGAGUCCUGUUUUCCUAG